UAGCAGUGAGGAAUAUUGGUCAAUAGCCUAACGGCUGAACCAGCAACUUGGAGGAACAUACAGCAAUAGCUGGUUGCAUUAACAAUAAGUUUUUACAACAUCGACUAUGUCGAAUAAAGUUCUAGGUAGAGUUAUGAUAAUGACAUUUUCUAUCUAUGUGUCUUGACCAAAUCACGUGCCAGCAGUCGCGGUAAUACGUGGAAGACUAGUGUUAUUCAUCUUUAAUUGGUUUAAAGGGUACCUAGACGGUCUAUUAAGCCCCUAAAGGGUACUUACAGACUAGAGUUUGAUGAGAGGGGGGAAGUACGAGAGAGUGUAGAGAUGAAAUUCUGUCAUACCUUACUUGGAACAGGCAACGGCGAAAGCAACUCCUUAUGUAAAAACUGACGUUGAAGGACGAAGGA
rnacentral:rRNA from 1 species